UUCACGCUACUUUCCUCUUUCUUUGAACUCUUUCGUCUGAACUCCUCUGAAGUCUGAACCAUUUUGCAUUUUCAAAUUUUCAUCAUCCACGAACUCCCCUUCACCAGUUCACUAACUUCACCGUGAAUCUCGUCGCAUUAGCCUUCACCAUCACCAGUUCACCGCGGAAUCUCGUCGUCUCCCCUUCACCAUUUCGCGAACUGUUCUCACUCCUCUCUUCACCGCCGAUCUGCUCGUUUCUUCUGUCACCGUCGAUCUGGAAGCUGCACCAUCGUUGUCAUCUUCUUCUUGAUCAGGAACUCUCUUCUUCUCUUCUGCAGUUCUGCUCUGUUCAGUGUUCAAGUCAUCAAGUGUUCGUCCGUCACAGUCGAGCUCCACAUCUCCAACGGUCAACAGCAGCUCGUCUUCAGUCUUCACCAACACCAGGGUAGAGAUCAAGAUUAAAGGCAAAGAAUAUGUCAUUAUCUGGGUCUUGUCAACAAUCUGCUUCCAUGGAUGUUUCACAAACUUUUCGAGGAAGAAAUGAUAUAGCAUGGGCACAUGUUAAUGAGGGACUGGAUGAAAAUAGGAAGAAGAUAUUAACAUGUCUUUACUGUGGCAAGAUAAUCAGAGAAUUUUUUGUAGAUGAUGUCGCCGAUGUUAAUAAUGAUGACAAUCAUCCAUCAGGUGGUGUGUGAAUUGUCAAUUUUAAUUGAGGAUAGAAUGAUGGAUUGAUUGAUUGAAGACCAUUUGGUGAAGAUC